rnacentral:rRNA from 1 species
UACAGAGGUCCCAAGCGUUGUUCGGAUUCAUUGGGCGUAAAGGGUGCGUAGGUGGCGCUGUAAGUGGGGUGUGAAAUCCCGGGGCUUAACCCCGGGACUGCAUUCCAUACUGCAGUGCUUGAGGACUGGAGAGGAGACUGGAAUUUACGGUGUAGCAGUGAAAUGCGUAGAGAUCGUAAGGAAGACCAGUGGCGAAGGCGGGUCUCUGGACAGUUCCUGACACUGAGGCACGAAGGCCAGGGGAGCAAACGGGG